rnacentral:tRNA from 1 species
GCAGUCGUGGCCUACUGGUUAGGGCUUUGGGCUUGGAACCGAAGGGUCGCUGGUUCGAUCCCCGACCAGUGGG